rnacentral:rRNA from 1 species
GAUGAACGCUAGCUACAGGCUUAACACAUGCAAGUCGCAGGGUAACAUGAGGAAAGCUUGCUUUCCUUGAUGACGACUGGCGCACGGGUGAGUAACGCGUAUCCAACCUUCCCAUAACUACGGGAUAACCCGUUGAAAGACGGCCUAAUACCGUAUGAUAUCGUUUGCUGACAUCAAAUAACGAUUAAAGGUUUAGCGGUUAUGGAUGGGGAUGCGUCUGAUUAGCUUGUUGGCGGGGUAACGGCCCACAAGGCGACGAUCAGUAGGGGUUCUGAGAGGAAGGUCCCCCACAUUGGAACUGAGACACGGUCCAAACUCCUACGGGAGGCAGCAGUGAGGAAUAUUGGUCAAUGGGCGAGAGCCUGAACCAGCCAAGUAGCGUGCAGGACGACGGCCCUAUGGGUUGUAAACUGCUUUUAUGUGGGGAUAAAGUGCGUGACGUGUCAUGCAUUGCAGGUACCACAUGAAUAAGGACCGGCUAAUUCCGUG